rnacentral:rRNA from 1 species
AUGGUGCCAGCAUCUUGCUGGAAGUUGAUGAAGCGUCUAAAAAUCGGCCCAGAGCGGAAGCUCGCCGCAGCACAAUCGGAGUUGUGCAGGUUUGUCGCGGAGAUGAUGGAGAAAAGGGGAGAUGGAUCGGUCCACAUGGAUGAACAGCAAGAGAACCGUAAUGUAGAAAUUGUUUCUUCCUACAUCGAUGACCCAGAGUAUAUUGACGACCAUGGAAAACCUAGUGGCUUCAUGUACGCCACCCUGAUCAAUUACAUGUUUGCCGGGCGUGACACGGUCGGCACAACCCUCACUUGGCUCUUCUACAACCUCAUCAAACACCCGCACAUCAUGUCGAGCAUUAGAAGAGAACUAUCUCCCAUUGCCAUGCACAAAGCAAACAACUCCACCACCAUGGUGACCUUUGAGCCAGAGGAGACAGAACCGCUUGUCUACGUGCAUGCGGCAUUGUUCAAAUCCAUGAGGCUGUACCCACCGGGCCCCAUCGAGCGCAAGACUGUGAUGACCGACGACGUACUGCCGAGCGGUCACAAGGUGCGGAGGGGUGAAACCAUACUGAUUUCACUCUACUCAAUGGGCAGGAUGGAAGGUGUGUGGGGCAAGGAUUGCACGGAGUACCGGCUAGAAAGGUGGGUCAAAGAGGAUGGCAAGCUUCUGUACGUGUCGUCCUACAAGUUCCUAGCAUUCAACGCCGGGCCGAGAUCGUGCUUGGGCAAGCACAUCUCGGUAGUGCAGAUGAAGAGUAUCAUUGCCGCCAUAGUGUGGAACUUCAAUUUUGAGAUGGUGGCAGGGUACGUUGUAGAGCCAAAGCCAUCAGUUGUGCUCAAGAUGAAGAAUGGGUUGUGUGCCAAGAUCCUCAAACGGCGGAUCAAAUGA